GGUAUCCUUCUGGCAAGGGUACUGUACUAAACUAACUAAAGUGGGGGAUAGUGAGGGGAUAAAUUUUCUUAAGGAACUCGGCAAAAUCCCAAUGGCCCACCAGGGCAUAUUGGAACACGGGCCUCGACUGUUUACCAAAAACAUAGCCCUCGGCUAAUAUGAAAAUAGAUGUAUAGAGGGUGAUGCCUGCCCAAUGGUUGUAUCUAAAAGCGGUUGAUAAAAGUUGACCUCGUAAGGACAAUUGAAUGGCCGCGGUAACACUGACCGUGAUAAUGUAGCGUAAUCAAUAGCCAAUUAAUUGUUGGCCAGUAUGAAUGGCGCCACGAAGGCCCCACUGUCUUAAGGAAAUUCCCAGUGAAAUUGAAUUCGUAGUGAAGAUGCUACGUCCAAUUUGUUAGACGAAAAGACCCCGUUGAGCUUUACUGGAGCACUUACAUGGCCCCGGCCUUCCCAUGCCUGGGAACCGGCCGAAUUUAAAUGGGCGGCUUAGAUUAUGUGGCAGCCCCCCGCUGGGGCAAAUGAAACACCACUCCCCCAUGUCAAAGGGGCUAACCCCCCCCCCUUGGGGGGACAGUGUAAGUAGGACAGUUUGGUUGGGGCGACCACCUUUUAAAAAGUAACGAAGGUGCGCUUAAGGUGCGCAAUUAAUGACUGAAGCCU
rnacentral:rRNA from 1 species